rnacentral:lncRNA from 1 species
UAGAAAAGGGUGGGAUGAAGAUGGCUUUUACAUCUCUAGGACGGAGGUGUUAGAAGCUGGAUCAGGGACUGGAUCAGAGGAUCAGGGGAGACAAGAAAGAAUUCACUAUAGAGGCUGAGCAGUGGUGCUCCAGGAACUUGUCUACUGUGGGGUAGAUUCAUGAUAACCUACUUAAGGCGGCAGCCACUAGAAGAAGGAAGAGUCAACACAGAAUGCAAAGCAUGGUAUUUUGUUUUUAUUUUUCAAGCUACUUCAUCUGGGAUUUAAUGGACUUUGUGAGCAUCUCACAGCCCACUCAAGACUAUGUUCAGGAUACUCCAUAAGAAGUGCUGCCUUCACCCCAGGCUGCUGAAAAGCAGGUCACAGGCUAGAUCCAUCUGGGGCUGACUUUGGCUGGAAGGCCACAGCAAUGGGAAAGAAUGAUGGGAAUGAGAAAACUUGCCCUGCAAAGAUAAAGUGGAGCUGGGAACUUGAAAAUGCCUCUCCUGCAGCCAUCUUAACCCUGAAGAAAGCCUUGAAGGACAAAUGGCAGAGGAUAGCAUGGAAGUUGGAAUCUGCAAUGAAGGUGAGAAGAUCUUCCAGCACUUUGGUGGGUAUAAAACCCAGAUCCUCUGCAAGGGUUGGAAGUGCGCCUAUUGCUGAGCCAACUCGUCAGCUUUGAGUCGGUCUAUGUGCAUGUUUGUAAAGACUUGUCUUGAUUGUCUACUACUGUGCGAGGGUCCAGUCCACUGUGGGCGGAACUGUUCACUGAGCAGGUGGUUCUGGAUUGUAGAAGAAAGCUAGGGAUCCUUUAUGAAUUGUAGCAUGGAGGAUAGGUGGUCUUGUCAUCAUCCCAGGAGAAGGAAACGUUACCACCAGGUUACCUUGGAUGUGGAGUCGGUGGACACCCCCAAGAUCCCUAGAGGACUCUCCACAUGAUCUUAGGACCUCUGAAGGAUUUAUAUAUGAUAACUGGAUCUGCCUGGAAUACCAGAAGAGGAGAAGUAACUGACUAAGGAAACCCAUUUUCACUAAUUAUCUAACCUACUGUCUGAAGAUAAGAAAAGGAAGGGAAAGGAUUGCAUGUUAACUGGGGCCCUUAUCUCCUCCUAUCCUCAGCUAUGUCAGUCAGACUCAAGUGUGACUUGCACCAUGUGUGUUUCUUGUUUUCUAACCUGUAGAAGAUGGGUUAUGGGUUAUUGAUAAUCAUGUAAGACAUUUCCUGCAAUAAAACUUCACUUGUUCUUUCUUCCCA